rnacentral:rRNA from 1 species
UUAGGUCGACCCGCUGAAUUUAAGCAUAUCAAUAAGGGGAGGAAAAGAAACCAACUGGUAUUCCCUCAGUAACGGCGAGUGAACAGGGAGAAGCCCAUCGGUGAAGAAUCGCAAGAUUCGGUGUCCGGUUUGGACUAGUGCUUAGCUCUUGAUUUACGAUGCUUGAAAUCUGUUGGAAAACAGUUUCAUAGAGGGUGAUAAACCCGUAAAAGUGUUAUUAUCUUGAGCAUCAUGGGCUUAGUCUAAUGAGUAGAGCUAUUUGAAAGUGUAGCUCAAAGUGGAGAUAUGUCUCUCCAAAGGCUAAAUAUAAUUGCAAGUCCGAUAGAGAACAAGUACCGUGAGGGAAAGUUGAAAAGCACUCUGAAGAGAGAGUGAAAAGUACGUGAAACUGUUGAAGGGGAAUUGAAGGGAACGUUACUGUGUUUAUUGCCGUCAGCUUAGAGUGAUGGCUUGCAAACUGUGGUGUUGCUUUUGAAAGCUUUUGGAAAUUGCUAUAGUCUCCAAUUGUUUCCGAACUUUUGGUUGAUGUAGGCAUUGAACCAGGAUUAGAUUAAUCCAUAUAUUCUGUUAGUAAAAUCAACAUCAUAAUCAGGGUUCCCUACAACCCGUCUUGAAACACGGACCAAGGAGUUUGAGUUGCCCGCAAGUGAUUGUGCUAAUUGAAAGCAUACACGCGAAAUGAAAGUAAAUAUUACAUUGCUUCGGCUUUGCAAUUACUAUGUGGUGAUAGCACUAGAACAGUGUCUUGCAACCACGGGCGGUCUAACCAAAAUAAUGUGUGAUCGACCUUUAGCGAGUAGCUCAAGACCCGAAAGAUGGUGAUCUAUGCUCGGGCAGGGCGAAGCCACGGGAAACCAUGGUGGAGGUCCGAAGCGGUUCUGACGUGCAAAUCGAUCGUCUGACCUGAGUAUAGGGGCGAAAGACUAAUCGAACCAUCUAGUAGCUGGUUUCCUCCGAAGUUUCCCUCAGGAUAGCGAAGGCUUAUACGAAUCUGCGAAAGCAGUUUCAUUGGGUAAAGCGAAUGAUUAGAGGUAUGGGGGAAUAUAUUUCCUCCACCUAUUCUCAAACUUUAAAUCGGUGAGAUGUCCUUGUGGCUUAAUUGCACUUGGGCUAUGAAUGCAAGCCUUCAGUGGGCCGUUUUUGGUAAGCAGAACCGGCGAUGUGGGAUGAACCAAAUGUUGAGUUAAGGCGCAAAACUACUUGCUCAUGAGUAACCACAAAAGGUGUUGAUUGAUAUUGACAGCAGGACGGUGGCCAUGGAAGUUGGAAUCCGCUAAGGAGUGUGUAACAACUCACCUGCCGAAUCAAUCAGCCCUGAAAAUGGAUUGCACUAGAGCUCGUGGCCUAUACUCAACCGUGAAUGCCAAUUUUCGUUAAGUUGCAACCUUUGGUUGUACAAGAUGGAACAUGACUGAUGCGUAAUCAUAGAUUGCGUGGAUUAAGCAUUCAUGAGUAGGAGGACGCAGCAAUUGCGUUAAAGGAUACGCGUGAGCGUGUUCCUCAAGCGAUUGCUGGUGCAGAUCUUGGUGGAAGUAGCAAGUACUCAAAUGAGAACUUUGAGGACUGAAGUGGAGA